UACGGAGGGAGCUAGCGUUGUUCGGAAUUACUGGGCGUAAAGCGUACGUAGGCGGUUAUUCAAGGCAGAGGUGAAAGCCCGGGGCUCAACCCCGGAACGGCCUUUGAAACUAGAUAGCUAGAGUCUUGGAGAGGUUAGUGGAAUUCCGAGUGUAGAGGUGAAAUUCGUAGAUAUUCGGAAGAACACCAGUGGCGAAGGCGACUAACUGGACAAGUACUGACGCUGAGGUACGAAAGCGUGGGGAGCAAACAGG
rnacentral:rRNA from 1 species